AUUAAUACCAUUACUUUUUACUGAAAGAGGAGUCUUUUAUCUGAAAGAGGCAAAAAAACUGUUUAAACAAUGGAUCUCUUUCAAUAAUGCUGCAAAUAACAUUCUUAUCAUCGUAGUCUAUGGAUUUAUAUUUUAAAAUGAUACAAAUAAACGUUAUUUAAUUAUACAACGGUUUUUAUUUUGUUUUUUAACCUUAGUCCAAAGUUAGUAACCAUCUUAAAUAAAUAUAUAUUGUGUUCAA
rnacentral:lncRNA from 1 species